CGGGUGAGUAACACGUGGGCAAUCUGCCCUUCACUCUGGGACAAGCCCUGGAAACGGGGUCUAAUACCGGAUAACACUCUGUCCCGCAUGGGACGGGGUUAAAAGCUCCGGCGGUGAAGGAUGAGCCCGCGGCCUAUCAGCUUGUUGGUGGGGUAAUGGCCUACCAAGGCGACGACGGGUAGCCGGCCUGAGAGGGCGACCGGCCACACUGGGACUGAGACACGGCCCAGACUCCUACGGGAGGCAGCAGUGGGGAAUAUUGCACAAUGGGCGAAAGCCUGAUGCAGCGACGCCGCGUGAGGGAUGACGGCCUUCGGGUUGUAAACCUCUUUCAGCAGGGAAGAAGCGAAAGUGACGGUACCUGCAGAAGAAGCGCCGGCUAACUACGUGCCAGCAGCCGCGGUAAUACGUAGGGCGCAAGCGUUGUCCGGAAUUAUUGGGCGUAAAGAGCUCGUAGGCGGCUUGUCACGUCGGAUGUGAAAGCCCGGGGCUUAACCCCGGGUCUGCAUUCGAUACGGGCUAGCUAGAGUGUGGUAGGGGAGAUCGGAAUUCCUGGUGUAGCGGUGAAAUGCGCAGAUAUCAGGAGGAACACCGGUGGCGAAGGCGGAUCUCUGGGCCAUUACUGACGCUGAGGAGCGAAA
rnacentral:rRNA from 1 species